rnacentral:lncRNA from 1 species
GCAGAAGUAACAUUCCUUUGAACACUCAGCUUUCUGAAAUGGUGUCCCACCGCAAGGACUGGAGAAGGGUAAACCUCAGGUUCUCCUCCUGCCUUUUGCUAAGUAUAUGUCUUGAUGACAAGCCUUCUGCUGAUGAGCUGUGUUUCUGGACCGAUCAUGGUAGAAGUCAAUUAACGUGUCCCUCACUUGGGGUUUCUCAAGGAAGGAGUCUCACUCUGUCGUCCAGGCUGGAGUGCAGUGGCACAAUCUCGGCUCACUGCAAGCUCUGCCUCCCAGGUUCACGCCAUUCUCCUGCCUCAGUCUCCCAAACAUGCAAGGUCCUCAUGAUUGUCUCAAAACUAUAUAGAAUUGAGAAGCUGCACUGAUGAGGAAACUGAAACAGAAAAUCCAGAGUAAAUUCCACCAGGCCACACAGCAAGGUCUGAUAGAGCCAGGAGAGACUUUAUGAAAUCCAGACUCUCACACUAAUGCUCUAUCAGCUAGACCUCCAUGUGAGUCUCCCCAAUGUAGGUAGGAAGUGCUUUCCCUAAAAUGCUCAUAAAGCAAAUCAGAGCAAUGCUGCAUUCCAUGUGAUUUCUAAUUUGAAAUGCAAACAAUUGCCAAUUUGUUUGACUUG